AAACCCACAUAUUUUCCAGCACUCCAUCCUCACUGUCAAAACUGUCAAGAACGUAAAGGGUCUGAGAUUGUGCCCUACUUGCAAGACAACAAGUUAACCUGGCAUAGUUUCAUGUCUGCUGGUAGAAGCUAUGAGGCUCCUGAUUCAGAGGUUUUGUGACUCAGACUGGCUUCCUUGCUCCUUAGCUUGCAGAUGACCUAUUGUGGAACUUCAUCUUGUGAUCGUGAUUUUUCUCUUUGUACACAACUCUAAGAUUGAGUUGCUCGUUCAUUGCGGAUCGAGGAAAUGGCCGGCUUGUAAAUAUCUUUCAAAACUGGAAUGUCAAUUGCUAAACAUCUCUGAAACACCAUUCAGACACAAUUGUGUCCAGAAUUGGUGGGUUCUUGGUCUCGCUGACUUCAAGAAUGAAGCUGUGGACCCUCACGGUGAGUGUUACAGUUCUUAAAGAUGGUGCAUCCGGAGUUUAUUCCUUCUGAUGUUCGGACGUGUCUGGAGUUUCUUCCUUCUGGAGGGUUCGUGGUCUCGCUGACUUCAGGAGUGAAGCUGCAGACCUUCGCG